UCCCACGUGAUCUAGUUGGCUAGGAUAUCUGGUUUUCACCCAGAAGUCCCCGGGUUCGAUUCUCUGCGAGGGAA